UACAGAGGGGGCCAGCGUUAUUCGGAAUUAUUGGGCGUAAAGGGCGCGUAGGCGGCCAUGCGUGUCUUCCGUGAAAUCCCUCGGCCCAACUGAGGAACUGCGCCCGAGACUGCUUCUCUUGAGUCCCGGAGAGGAAGAUGGAAUUCCCGGUGUAGCGGUGAAAUGUGUAGAGAUCGGGAGGAACACCGGUGGCGAAGGCGGUCUUCUGGACGGUGACUGACGCUGAGGCGCGAAAGCGUGGGGAGCAAACGGG
rnacentral:rRNA from 1 species